rnacentral:rRNA from 1 species
GACGAACGCUGGCGGCGUGCUUAACACAUGCAAGUCGAACGGGAAGGCCCUGCUUUUGUGGGGUGCUCUAGUGUCGAACGGGUGAGUAACACGUGAGUAACCUGCCCUUGACUUUGGGAUAACUUCAGGGAACUGGGGCUAAUACCGGGUAGGAGCUCCUGCUGCAUGGUGGGGGUUGGAAAGUUUCGGCGGUUGGGGAUGGACUCGCGGCUUAUCAGCUUGUUGGUGGGGUAGUGGCUUACCAAGGCUUUGACGGGUAGCCGGCCUGAGCGGGGGAACGGCGACAUUGGGACUGAGAGAGGGCGCAGACUCCUACGGGACGCAGCAGUGGGGAAUAUGGCACAACGGGCGGAAGCCUGAUGCAGCAAUGCCGCGUGCGGGAUGCCGGCCUGCUGGUUGUAAACCGCUUUCGCAGGUGAUGAAGCGUGAGUGACGGUAAUUGGUAAAGAAGCAACGGCUAACUACGUG